rnacentral:lncRNA from 1 species
UUGUGGUGUUGUUUUCCUUGCAGGGAAGCUAUUGAUUUGAGGAAUUUGAAGGUUUCUGGAGGAAGGACUUGGAAAAUUUGAAGUGAACCUCUUUUGGGAAUUAAAAGCUUCCAAAGUCAUGUUGCUGAUAUUGAAAUGUCAAUUCCUUGACCUUUGGAUGCACAUGGGAGUCUCAGAGAACAUUCCAAGCAUUUGAAAGCUUUUGCAUGGCAGGAGACAGAGAGAAACCCUGAAAGGAAGACUGAACCACAGGAUUUCUGACCCUCUAGGCAAUGCCUCUGAGAACCUUGGAAUGGAGAAAGGGAACAAUGUCAUCUGCACUCAGUCAUGGAGGAAACAGCUGGACAAGUCAGCACAGGGCGGAGGUGACCGGUGGAGGCGACUAGGACUUCUUCAGGUACCUGGAGAUCACUGAACGCUGGCCUUCCAGACCCCUUUACACCAAGUGCGCUAUCCUGAGGGAAAUGGCCUGCCUGAAAGGGACUAAAUGAGUUUGGCCUUCAUGCUCAGAGAGGCACAGCAGAAAGUGUAGGAGGAGAUCAGGGUCUUUUGCUGUUUGCUGUCUCUCUACUACCAAUCUCUGAAAUGCCUUUCUUUAAAAAAAAGAAAAUGAAAUAUCUUUAUUGGCUUGGAUUUUUCUAAUGACAGAAAAGAGAAGUGAGGAGACAAGAUUGGGAAUUGAGGUCAGAGAAGCAUCCGUGGGUAGACGUUGCAUUGUGAGGCGACGUCGGGGAUCUACUGAUUAGCCGGUCUGGCUGCCGCUCUCCAUCCACACAGGGCAUUUGGCCACCCAUUCCUGCUGAUUAAGGGGCAGUGUCCUGGCAGCUUCUGAUAGAUAACUUGGUUGUUUUGUUAUAAGGAGCUUUAUUUCCUCAGGAUGAAUUAUGAAGAUUUUUCUUUUUGUUGUUUCAAAAUAGGGCUGUCUUAUCUGAGAAUGUGUUAAUUAAAGUUAUCAUGUAUUACCUUGUUU